rnacentral:rRNA from 1 species
GAUGAACGCUAGCGGCAGGCCUAAUACAUGCAAGUCGAACGGUGUAGCAAUACACAGUGGCGCACGGGUGCGUAACACGUAUGCAACCUACCUUACAUUGGGGGAUAGCCUUUCGAAAGGGAGAUUAAUACCGCAUAAGACAGUAACUGGGCAUCUAGUAGCUGUUAAAGAUUUAUCGAUGUAAGCUGGGCAUGCGUCCAAUUAGUUAGUUGGUGAGGUAACGGCUCACCAAGACGAUGAUUGGUAGGGGAACUGAGAGGUAAAUCCCCCACACUGGCUCGGGGAUACGGGCCAGACUCCUACGGGAGGCAGCAGUAGGGAAUAUUGGGCAAUGGGCGCAAGCCUGACCCAGCCAUGCCGCGUGCAGGAAGAAGGCGUUAUGCGUUGUAAACUGCUUUUAUACAGGAAGAAACGACCCUUGCGAGGGGCAUUGACGGUACUGUAUGAAUAAGCACCGGCUAACUCCGUGCCAGCCGCCGCGGUAAAAC